rnacentral:tRNA from 2 species
GCCGAGCGGCCAAAGGGAGCAGACUGUAAAUCUGCCGUCAUCGACUUCGAAGGUUCGAAUCCUUCCCCCACCA